AUUUAUUUGAUGAAGAGAAAAGUAGCAUAAGUUAGGUAAAAGAGAGUCAGUGGAUGGUGUAAACUGAUACCAAUGCUUUUGUGAAUCCACCUUGGAGAAUUAUUAUGAUGAAUAAUACGGAAAACCGUUAAAUUAAAUGAGAGAAUUAUACAUUUGUAUGAUUAAUGAGGGUGGCAACGCGAGUCAAUCGUCCCUAAG
rnacentral:ncRNA from 1 species